CCUACGGGGGGCUGCAGUGGGGAAUAUUGGACAAUGGGGGGAACCCUGAUCCAGCCAUGCCGCGUGUGUGAAGAAGGCCCUCGGGUUGUAAAGCACUUUCAGUGAGGAAGAACGCCUGGUGGUUAAUACCCAUCAGGAAAGACAUCACUCACAGAAGAAGCACCGGCUAACUCCGUGCCAGCAGCCGCGGUAAUACGGAGGGUGCGAGCGUUAAUCGGAAUUACUGGGCGUAAAGCGCGCGUAGGUGGCUUGAUAAGCCGGUUGUGAAAGCCCCGGGCUCAACCUGGGAACGGCAUCCGGAACUGUCAAGCUAGAGUGCAGGAGAGGAAGGUAGAAUUCCCGGUGUAGCGGUGAAAUGCGUAGAGAUCGGGAGGAACACCAGUGGCGAAGGCGGCCUUCUGGACUGACACUGACACUGAGGUGCGAAAGCGUGGGUAGCAAACAGGAUUAGAUACCCGGGUAGUC
rnacentral:rRNA from 1 species